GUGGGGAAUCUUCCGCAAUGGACGAAAGUCUGACGGAGCAACGCCGCGUGAGUGAUGAAGGUCUUCGGAUUGUAAAGCUCUGUUAAUCGGGACGAAAGAGCCUAGUGUGAAUAAUGCUAGGAAGCGACGGUACCGGAAUAGAAAGCCACGGCUAACUACGUGCCAGCAGCCGCGGUAAUACGUAGGUGGCAAGCGUUGUCCGGAAUUAUUGGGCGUAAAGCGCGCGCAGGCGGAUCUGCCAGUCUGUCUUAAAAGUUCGGGGCUUAACCCCGUGAUGGGAUGGAAACUACAGAUCUAGAGUAUCGGAGAGGAAAGUGGAAUUCCUAGUGUAGCGGUGAAAUGCGUAGAUAUUAGGAAGAACACCAGUGGCGAAGGCGACUUUCUGGACGAAAACUGACGCUGAGGCGCGAAAGCCAGGGGAGCGAACGGGAUUAGAAACCCCAGUAGUCC
rnacentral:rRNA from 1 species